rnacentral:tRNA from 1 species
UGGGACGUAGCCAAGUGGUAAGGCAAUGGGUUCUGGUCCCAUGAUCGAAGGUUCGAGUCCUUCCGUCCCAG